ACAGUUUCCGCAGCUGUAGAUGGAUGCUUUGGUAGUAUAGCCUAAGGUUAUUGUUUCGGACAGAAACUACCUAGAUAAAGAUGCUCUACACGCCAAAUUUUUGUUAUU
rnacentral:rRNA from 1 species